rnacentral:rRNA from 1 species
GGAUAACAAUACUAGUAAAAGUUUAACUUAAUACAUGAUAAUAUAUAUUACGGCAUCGUAGAUAUAUCAAAGUGUUAGCGGUAUAGGAUGGACCCGCGUCUGAUUAGCUAGUUGGUGAGAUAACUGCCCACCAAGGCGACGAUCAGUAGCCGACCUGAGAGGGUGAUCGGCCACAUUGGAACUGAGACACGGUCCAAACUCCUACGGGAGGCAGCAGCC